UACGUAGGUGACCAGCGUUGUCCGGAUUUACUGGGCGUAAAGAGCGCGCAGGCGGUCGUUCAAGUCAGGCGUGAAAGCCCCGGGCUCAACCUGGGAACAGCGCUUGAGACUGGCACGCUCGAGUCCGGGAGAGGUGAGUGGAAUUCCGAGUGUAGAGGUGAAAUUCGUAGAUAUUCGGAAGAACACCAGUGGCGAAGGCGGCUCACUGGACUGGUAUUGACGCUGAGGUGCGAAAGCGUGGGGAGCAAACAGG
rnacentral:rRNA from 1 species